AAGGAAAUAGUUUAAAGGUAGAACUAUGGUCUUCAAAACCAUUGAUGUGGGUUCAACUCCCUCUUUCCUUG
rnacentral:tRNA from 1 species